CGAUGGGCAGGGGAGGCUGAGGCUGGGCAGUGGGCGCCUGAGAGACUGCAAGGCGACUAGGCGAGUCACGAGCAGGCGGCCAGCUUGCCAGGCACAGUGCCGACCUUGACGGCGGCGGAUCUGUUGUUCGAGGAGGUGAGGUAUCGGCGGCGCGAGGACUCAAGCAGACCGGCUAUUGCUGAUUCCAAAGGCUGGUUUGGUGAGUUUGGCUGCGUUGGUGGCUAGCUCUUCAUUGCUUUUCUGCACCUACUAAUUUCAAUGGAUUUAAGAUUGCAUUGUCAAUUGUUCUCUGAUAAAAAUGGUCUAUCAUAGCAUCUGGCUUGGAGGUGCAAUUCGUUAUUAAUUCUAUCUACUUGAUAUUGAUUUGCUCAGAAGAAGUGCAGAGUGCAGACAAGCAUUAUUCUUUUGAAUGGCUCCUAAUUAUCUGGAAGUGCAUGCUUAGGAUUUGGGAGUGGGAAGUUAAAAAUGAAAAUUAUUGUUUCAUGUUUUCUGUAGAUAACUGAGUAAUUCCUGAAAGAUGAGAGUUCUCUGGUUAUGGCUAAAAUAAAGUUCAGUGCAUGUUAUCUCAGAAAAAUGGAUAGUGAAAACAUAGUCUGGUAUAUUCAGUGCAUGAGUAUGUUAUCUCAUAAAGAUGGAUGGUGAAAACAUAGAGUCAUAGGAGUAAAUGGUCUCUGAAGUUGAUGUUAUUUAUGGUCUCAUCUGAGUGUAGUAAUAUUAGUAUCAAACUAUUGCUUGGUAGCUACCUUCUGCAAAUUACAUAUAGUUUGCUUCUAUAUGCACAGGAAAUGAUGAAAGUGUAAGGAAUUGGCACUCACGGAGGAACAUGGUCGUGAUAGUUUUGAAAACCUCCUGUUUAGCAUUUGAUACUCAUAAUAUCAUGGUCUAUAUACAUCAGCAGAGAGAGCUGUGACAAACCUUGUUCUUUUCUGCACUUGGAGAAAUUAUUUAUUUGUGUUACACUGUUAUUCAGUAUAUUAUGCACAACAAUUUACAUCUGCUAUCAGCUCAAAUGUCUGUGCCAAAGAAGAUGGGAAAUUGCUUUCCCUUCUAUGGGUUGCUUACUUGCAUGCUUCCUUUGAGCAUCAACUGAUGUUCAGGUCUGGUUAUCAUUUCAGAAAUUAGAACAGCUGAAAUUACUGGGUUGGAUCUUUAGUCCCAUAUCAACAAUUGUCAGGUAUCCCAUAGGAUAGAUAAGUUACAAAAUUCCAAUAGCAACUUUUAAUUCAAUAGAAAAUAAUUAGAUUUGGGAGUAUAUAUCUCUGUUAUUAGCAGCUCAGAAUUAAGAAAUCAGGGUGUCAUGAGUGUGAAAUGAAGUUUUAAAUGGAGUUUAAGCUGGUGUGUUGGUAGCAAAUUAGAUUUGGGAGUAUAUAUAUAUUGGGACAACAUUUAAUGCCAUUUGAUUUCAACUGUAUUAGGAUUCAUGACAAAAAAGUCUUAAUUAUUUAGAAUAAUUCUGCUGAUCGAAACCGAUUGAAAUCUGAUGAAACCUUCCUGUAAAUUAGGCGAUGAAAAUCUGAAAUAGCAGAGAAACAUCACUGAACUAUUGAAACUAAAUGAAAUAUGCUUAGUUGUAAUUUGAUUCUAAUUAUUUAUCUAUCAAGAAGUUUGUUGUACCUGAGUGAACAAAUGCAGUGAUUGAAUUAUUUUUAACAAACUUAACUUUUUUGAACUAACAAUGGUUUUGUUGCACCUAUAAAUAAAUUAUUGUUGUACCUGAGUUUUUCUUGUCAUGUUUUUCAGGGUAUCUGAUUCCUUCUGGUUGUCGUCGUCUUGAUUCAUAUCAAGUGUGAUCCUGACAUGCGCGCUUACUUUCUUGGCUUGGUUUGAUUGAUUGAUUGUGUGUUUUUCUUAGGAAGCCAUGCUUCAGGCCGCCUCCUGUAAUUAGGUUGAAUCUGAGAUGAACUAUUGUUUGAAUUAUUUGUAUUCUAAUUGCAUCUAUUAUUAGUUGAAUCUGAGAUGGUUUGUGUUAUUAGGUUUGAAUUUGAAAUGUAUGAGAAAUUGGACUGAAUUUCGUGGGCUCAAAUUUAAUUGGCCUAUUUAGUGGGC
rnacentral:lncRNA from 1 species